GACAGAGGAUGCAAGCGUUAUCCGGAAUCACUGGGCGUAAAGCGUCUGUAGGUGGUCAAAUAAGUCAACUGUUAAAUCUUGAGGCUCAACCUCAAAAUCGCAGUCGAAACUAUUAGACUAGAGUAUAGUAGGGGUAAAGGGAAUUCCAGUUGGAGCGGUGAAAUGACGUAGAGAUUGGAAAGAACACCAACGGCGAAAGCACUCUGCUGGGCCGACACUGACACUGAGAGACGAAAGCUAGGGGGAGCAAAACAGG
rnacentral:rRNA from 1 species